rnacentral:rRNA from 1 species
AUUGAACGCUGGCGGCAUGCCUUACACAUGCAAGUCGAACGGCAGCAUGGAAGAGCUUGCUCUUCUGAUGGCGAGUGGCGAACGGGUGAGUAAAGCAUCGGAACGUACCGUGUAAUGGGGGAUAACGUAGCGAAAGUUACGCUAAUACCGCAUACGACCUGAGGGUGAAAGCAGGGGAUAGCAAGACCUUGCGUUAUACGAGCGGCCGAUGUCAGAUUAGCUAGUUGGUAGGGUAAAGGCCUACCAAGGCGACGAUCUGUAGCGGGUCUGAGAGGAUGAUGCGCCACACUGGGACUGAGACACGGACCAGACUCCUACGGGAGGCAGCAGUGGGGAAUUUUGGACAAUGGGGGCAACCCUGAUCCAGCCAUGCCGCGUGAGUGAAGAAGGCCUUCGGGUUGUAAAGCUCUUUCGGCCGGGAAGAAAUCGCACAGGCUAAUACUCUGUGUGGAUGACGGUACCGGCAUAAGAAGCACCGGCUAACUACGUGCCAGCCGCCGCAGUAA